GUCAACGACCAUACCAUGAAAACACCGGCUCUCGUUCGAUUACCGAACUUAAGCAACAUCGGGCAUAGCUAGUAUUUAGAUGGGUGACCACUUGGGUUAACCAUGUGUCGUUGGCG
rnacentral:rRNA from 1 species